rfam:Triticum aestivum genome assembly, contig: Triticum_aestivum_CS42_TGACv1_scaffold_542874_6DS
UUAUUACUCCCUCCGUCCGAAAAUACUUGUCAUCAAAAUGGAUAAAAAGAGAUGUAUCUAGAACUAAAAUACAUCUAGAUGGAUCCCCUUUUAUCCAUUUUGAUGACAAGUAUUUUCGGACGGAGGGAGUAUUUG